rnacentral:lncRNA from 1 species
UAAGAAAUAAAAUUGAGAAUGGAAAUGGGGAAUAUGCCAAAGAGACAACAACCCGACCAUAGAAAAAAACAACAGCAGAAGGUCACCAACAGGUCUUCAAUGUAGCGAGAAAUUCCCGCACCCGGAGGCGUCCUUCAGCUGGCCCCUAAACAAAUAUAUGCUAGUUCAGUGAUAAUGAACGCCAUACUAAUUUCCAAAUUGUACACAAGAAACUAAAAUUAAAAAUAAUACAAGACUAACAAAGGCCAGAGGCUCCUGACUUGGGACAGGCGCAAAAAUGCGGCGGGGUUAAACAUGUUUGUGAGAUCUCAACCCUACC